GGAUUAGAUACCCUGGUAGUCCACGCCGUAAACGAUGUCUACUAGCCGUUGGGGGACUUGAUCUCUUAGUGGCGCAGCUAACGCGAUAAGUAGACCGCCUGGGGAGUACGGCCGCAAGGUUAAAACUCAAAUGAAUUGACGGGGGCCCGCACAAGCGGUGGAGCAUGUGGUUUAAUUCGAAGCAACGCGAAGAACCUUACCAACUCUUGACAUCCAGAGAACUUAGCAGAGAUGCUUUGGUGCCUUCGGGAACUCUGAGACAGGUGCUGCAUGGCUGUCGUCAGCUCGUGUCG
rnacentral:rRNA from 1 species